UACGUAGGGUGCGAGCGUUACUCGGAAUUACUGGGCGUAAAGCGUGCGCAGGCGGUUCGUUGUGUCGGUGGUGAAAUCCCCGGGCUUAACCUGGGAAUGGCCAUGGAAACUGGCGAACUGGAGUGUGGCAGAGGGGGGUGGAAUUCCGCGUGUAGCAGUGAAAUGCGUAGAGAUGCGGAGGAACACCGAUGGCGAAGGCAGCCCCCUGGGCUAGCACUGACGCUCAGGCACGAAAGCGUGGGGAGCAAACAGG
rnacentral:rRNA from 1 species